GGCAGGCUUUACACAUGCAAGUCGAGCGCCCCCAGGGAGUGGCAGACGGGUGAGUAACGCGUGGGAAUCUACCCAUCUUUUCGGAAUAACUCAGGGAAACGUUUGAUAAUACCGUAUAGCCCUUCGGGGGAAAGAUUUAUCGGGAUGGAUGAGCCCGCGUUGGAUUAGCUAGUUGGU
rnacentral:rRNA from 1 species